rnacentral:rRNA from 1 species
AUUGAACGCUGGCGGCAGGCCUAACACAUGCAAGUCGAACGGGUGGCGGACGGGUGAGUAAUGUCUGGGAAACUGCCUGCUGGAGGGGGAUAACUACUGGAAACGGUAGCUAAUACCGCAUACCAUCAGAUGUGCCCAUAUGGGAUUCGCUAGUUGGUGGGGGAACGGCUCACCAAGGCGACGAUCCCUAGCUGGUCUGAGAGGAUGACCAGCCAAACUGGAACGGAGAAACGGUCCAGACCCCUACGGGAGGAAGCAUGGGGGAAUAUGGCACAAUGGGCGAAAGCCUGAUGCAGCCAUGCCGCGUGUAUGAAGAAGGCCUUCGGGUUGUAAAGUACUUUCAGCGGGGAGGCGUUACCCGCAGAAGAAGCACCGGCUAACUCCGUGCCAGCAGCCGCGGUAAUAC